rnacentral:rRNA from 1 species
UGGGUAACCUGCCUUAUAGUGGGGGAUAGCCUUUCGAAAGGAAGAUUAAUACCGCAUAAGAUUGUAGUAUCGCAUGAUAUAGCAAUUAAAGGAGCAAUUCGCUAUAAGAUGGACCCGCGUCGCAUUAGCUAGGUUGGUGAGGUAAUGGCUCACCAAGGCGACGAUGCGUAGCCGACCUGAGAGGGUGAUCGGCCACAUUGGGACUGAGACACGGCCCAGACUCCUACGGGAGGCAGCAUG